UACGUAGGUGGCAAGCGUUGUCCGGAUUUACUGGGCGUAAAGAGCGCGCAGGCGGUCGGGUAAGUCGAAUGUGAAAGCCCCCGGCUCAACUGGGGAGGGUCAUUCGAUACUGUUCGACUCGAAGGCAGGAGAGGGAAGUGGAAUUCCCGGUGUAGUGGUGAAAUGCGUAGAUAUCGGGAGGAACACCAGUGGCGAAGGCGACUUCCUGGCCUGUUCUUGACGCUGAGGCGCGAAAGCUAGGGGAGCAAACGGG
rnacentral:rRNA from 1 species